UUUGGUGGCGAUAGCGAAGAGGUCACACCCGUUCCCAUACCGAACACGGAAGUUAAGCUCUUCAGCGCCGAUGGUAGUCGGGGGUUUCCNUAA
rnacentral:rRNA from 1 species